UGGGGAAUUUUGGACAAUGGGCGCAAGCCUGAUCCAGCCAUGCCGCGUGCGGGAAGAAGGCCUUCGGGUUGUAAACCGCUUUUGUCAGGGAAGAAAUCUUCUGAGUUAAUACCUCGGGAGGAUGACGGUACCUGAAGAAUAAGCACCGGCUAACUACGUGCCAGCAGCCGCGGUAAUACGUAGGGUGCAAGCGUUAAUCGGAAUUACUGGGCGUAAAGCGUGCGCAGGCGGUUUUGUAAGACAGAGGUGAAAUCCCCGGGCUCAACCUGGGAACUGCCUUUGUGACUGCAAGGCUUGAGUGCGACAGAGGGGGAUGGAAUUCCGCGUGUAGCAGUGAAAUGCGUAGAUAUGCGGAGGAACACCGAUGGCGAAGGCAAUCCCCUGGGCCUGCACUGACGCUCAUGCACGAAAGCGUGGGGAGCAAACAGGAUUAGAUACCCUGGUAGUCCACGCCCUAAACGAUGUCAACUGGUUGUUGGGAAGGUUCCUUCUCAGUAACGUAGCUAACGCGUGAAGUUGACCGCCUGGGGAGUACGGCCGCAAGGUUGAAACUUAAA
rnacentral:rRNA from 1 species